CAAAUCGUACCCCAAACCGACACAGGUGGUCAGGUAGAGAAUACCAAGGCGCUUGAGAGAACUCGGGUGAAGGAACUAGGCAAAAUGGUGCCGUAACUUCGGGAGAAGGCACGCUGGCAUGUAGGUGAAGUCCCUUGCGGAUGGAGCUGAAGCCAGUCGAAGAUACCAGCUGGCUGCAACUGUUUAAUAAAAACACAGCACUGUGCAAACACGAAAGUGGACGUAUACGGUGUGACGCCUGCCCGGUGCCGGAAGGUUAAUUGAUGGGGUUAUCCGUAAGGAGAAGCUCUUGAUCGAAGCCCC
rnacentral:rRNA from 1 species